rnacentral:rRNA from 1 species
GACGAACGCUGGCGGCGUGCUUAACACCUGCAAGUCGAACGAAGUGGCGACCGGGUGAGUAACGCGUAAUCAACCUGCCCUUCAGAGGCGGACAACAGUCGGAAACGACUGCUAAUACCGCUUACAGAAGGAGGGGAUUGAGUCUGAUUCGCUGGUUGGAGGGGUAACGGACCACCAAGGCGAUGAUCAGUAGCCGGUCUGGUAGGAUGAACGGCCGCAUGUGGACUGAGACACGGCCCAGACUCCUACGGGAGGCAGCAGUGGGGAUUCUUGCGCAAUGGACGGAAGUCUGACUGCGCAACGCCGGGUGGGUGAUGACGGCCUUCGGGUUGUAAAGCUCUGUUAAGCGGGACGCGGUACCGGAAUAGAAGGCCACGGCUAACUACGUGCCAGCAGCCGCGGUAAUUC